rnacentral:rRNA from 1 species
CCCUUAGAUGUCCGGGGCCGCACGCGCGCUACAUUGGAUGAAUCAACGCGUCAUCCUGGCCCGAAAGGGUUGGGGAACCGCUGAACCUCAUCCGUGGUUGGGAUUGGGGUUUGUAAUUCUUCCCCAUGAACGAGGAAUUCCCAGUAAGCGCGAGUCAUAAGCUCGCGUUGAUUACGUCCCUGCCCUUUGUACACACCGCCCGUCGCUACUACCGAUUGGAUGGUUUAGUGAGAUCCUCGGAUUGGUCCCGGCGCGGCCUCUGGUCGUGCCGGAGUGCCGAAAAGAAUGUCGAACUUGAUCAUCUAGAGGAAGUAAAAGUCGUAACA